rfam:Myotis davidii contig195786, whole genome shotgun sequence.
GGUGGUUCUUGGGUGACGCACCCCAGAAUCGGGCUCUAUCCUCUCUGGUUCCAGGAGCAUCACCUGAGAACCACU